CUUAUUUGAGUGCGCCAAAUCCAUUUCCGCAUCCGUUUCGUGCAGAAACGACUCCGACUCAGUCCGACAUCCUCCAGACGUGUCGGCCAGUCACUAAAACUGUAGCCAAUCCUAUCCAAACCUCUGGAACACUACAGCCAAAUUGGUAAGAUCUCAUAAAUUUAUUUAUUAUACAUAUCCUUCAUAAUUCUUUUAACUUGUUGUUCGUAAGUCAGCUGGUAUUUUAACUCAUGUUCGGCUCGUUAAUAAACGAGCCGAACAAGACCUGAAUUUUUCGGCUCAAUACUUUAACGAAUCAGCUCAUGUUUGACUCAUUUAUGAAACAAGCCGAACACGAGCCGGUCCCAGUUCGCUCGUUUUCGACUCAUCGACACCCCUAGCCCU
rnacentral:lncRNA from 1 species